GUUCAUUUCUUCUUAUGAAACCAAACAAACGCUUGAAUUCGUGACGUUUUCCUCUGUCAUCCGGCCGUUGGAUUUUUCGCCGCACAUCCAAAUCCCUCCCCGGCUCCGCCGCCGUCACGCUCGCGCUCUCACCCGGCGGCGCCAUGCUCCUCGCCAAUCUCCUCCAGCCGCCGCGCUGCCCGCUCGCCUCCCCCAUCCGCUGCCAGGCCCCGGCCCAGCACCACCAGCCCGCCGCCUCCUCCUCCCGCGGCCUCCUCCUCCGCGGCGCGGGCUCCCCCGUCGUCAAGCGCCUGCCCGCCGGCGACUGGCUCCUCUGGUACCACUCCGGGGCGCGCGUCGCGCUCGCCACCUCCCCCGACGGCCUGCGCUGGAGCGCGCCCGUGGCGCCCGACCCGCUGCUGCCCUCCACCGACUGGUGGGUCUUCGACACCGCCGCCGUCCGCCCCGGCGACGUCCUCGUCAUCUCCGGCCCCGACGCGCCGUCGUCGCCGUCCCGCCGCCCCCCGCCCUCCUCCUCCGCCGUGUACUGGCUCUACUACACCGGCUCCAACGACGCGCGCCUCGCGGCGUCCCCGUUCCCCGCCGCGGACGUCGCCGCGCUGCCCGGCCUCGCCAUCAGCCAGGACGGCCGCCACUGGGCGCGCAUCGAGGGGGCCCACCACACCGGCGCGCUCCUCGGGGUCGGGGAGGACCACCCGCAGGGCUGGGAGAAGCGCUGCGCCGCGGCCCCCAAGGUGGUGAUGCACGCCGACGGGGACCUCCGGAUGUACUACCACUCGUUCGACGAAAUGUCGCAGAGGCACGCGGUCGGGGUGGCCAGGUCCAGGGACGGCAUCCGGUGGGAGAGGGUGGGGAAGGCGCUCGAGGGAGGUGGGCCCGGGUCGUUCGACGAAGGCGGGGUGCGGCAGGGGCAUGUCGUCCGUGACCGCGCCGCCGGUCGGUACAUGAUGGCGUACGAGGGUUUGGAUGGCAAUGGCGGGGUGAGCAUUGGGUUGGCUGUGUCGGAGGACGGGCUGAGAGGGUGGAGGCGGUGCAGUGAAUCACCAGCGCUGUGCUCGUCAGAGGAUGAUGACGAGUGGGACGUCGCUGGGGUCGGCGCCCCGUGCCUGGUGCAAAUGGAUGGGCCAUAUGAUUGGAGACUCUAUUACAUGGGCGUAGGGAAGGAUGGUGAGGCUGCUAUUGGGAUGGCAUAUUCAGAGGGUCAGGGUCUUCCGAGGUUCAACAGGUGUGAUGCUCUUCUCAUGUAAGGGGUUAAAGUACGCACAAAUUUCCACGAGUUCUUGUCUGUUGUUGCUACUACCAUCUAAUACUGGUUGUUGGUUCAGUAUGACGCACACAAGUUGGUAUUGGUCCAUCGGCUUCUCUAGUCUAGAUUACAAUAGUCAUAACAGCUGCCCUAUUUACUAACAUGGGAGGACACCAGCGUCGGUUCUCACUAAUCAAUUCUUCCUCUAGUUAAAUCUCUAGCUAUAUGCCACUGAAACAUUGUGAACUUAUUCAUUGUUCCAUUGACAAGUUUGGUUCAGGCCAACAUGUUAGUCAGACAGUGAGUGACACAGAAGGGACGUGGUAAACAACAGCUUCCCAGCAGAUUGUCCAAGCUUUCCUUUGCAGGAAGCAACCAAGGUGAUAAACAAGAUGGUACAAUCUUCCACUGGCACGAGAGGUUGAUCUGGUCUGAAAAGCCAUGUGCAGAUGGAAGAACCUGUACCACAAUCUUGAAUAAUGCAAUGUUACAUAGUUAUUUCGAUGGGGUCAUGGAUGUCCUUAGUUCCUUCGCAGUGAGGUAAGUGUUUCAUCCCUGACCUGUCUCCAGUUAGUUUGUUCACAUGGUCUUUAUUCUAACACAGUGCAACUGUGCUGUUAUAAACACAAAUUAUGUCUUUAAGAUGUCAUAAUGCUUAUUUUUCUUAGGAUGAAUAUAAUGCUUCUUGUCAUGAAAUAGUUCUGGUAUCUUUCUUUCCCCUCUCUUUGCUGUAGUUCAGUUGAAGUACCCCCAUAUCUUACUCAUACACUGGGCAUGUAUUUUUAGGUUGAGACUGCAUGUUAUCCUGUCUACUUCUCUAGAUGGAUAGUGCAGCUCUUAUAUCCAUGUGUUAUAUGUGUGCAGUAUUACGUUUAUUGAUCAUUU